UUUUCAAGUACAAGACUAGAGGAACCAGCUCAUUUCUGCUCCUCCAACAUUGUACCAAAGAAUCCCUUCUGGUUACCACUCUCCUCUUUCAAGUAGUUUGCUUGGCAAUUUCCUCUAAGUUGGAUGACUUGGAAGCUUUUGAAUUGCACACACUUAUAUAUUCUGUUUAUCUUUUCUGAAGGUAUGUUUCAGCCCUAAAGUUUUGAGCCUUUUUAUUUUGUUUCCCGUUCUUCCCCAACCUCCAUAUCUGCAGUGUGGUUUUCUGGGUUCUUGCGCUCCUAAAGGGUAAAAAUGGCGAAAGAAUUGAGAAGAUGAAUUAGCUGAUAGCUUUUGAGAAGAUGAAUGAGCUGAUAGCUUUUGAGCUGACGUUGUUCUGAAAUCUUAUUUAAUAUCUAACCCUUUUAAAGAUGCCUGUCUGUGCAUUUUUGUUGAAUGUGGAAGCUGUAGACACUUCUGGAUCAAAUGCUCAAAUCCUGUAAUGGGAUAAAGCAGCCAGAGUGGCUAUACUUGUGCACACGCUGUAUAAGAGGUUUUUGUUAAUUGAACGAAGAUGGGAGUAUCGAUUUUAUUUAACGUCAGACUCGAGGAUAAAUUUAUGGGAAGUCUGUAAAGCUCACACAGUCGCUGCCUUCUUCCCUCUCCCCCUCCCCCGUCCCAUUAACGGAGAUUGUUGAUAAGGACAUUUGCAAGUAACAUUGAUUGUAUUUUUGUCAGGACCCAUUCCUCUAUGUAUACUUUUAGCGGCCCUUCAAAUUCUUUUGAAGGAUCUAUCAAAGAUUGAAUUCUUGCUUU